AUAAUGGGUCAGCGACUUAUAUUCUGUAGCAAGGUUAACCGAAUAGGGGAGCCGAAGGGAAACCGAGUCUUAACUGGGCGUUAAGUUGCAGGGUAUAGACCCGAAACCCGGUGAUCUAGCCAUGGGCAGGUUGAAGGUUGGGUAACACUAACUGGAGGACCGAACCGACUAAUGUUGAAAAAUUAGCGGAUGACUUGUGGCUGGGGGUGAAAGGCCAAUCAAACCGGGAGAUAGCUGGUUCUCCCCGAAAGCUAUUUAGGUAGCGCCUCGUGAAUUCAUCUCCGGGGGUAGAGCACUGUUUCGGCAAGGGGGUCAUCCCGACUUACCAACCCGAUGCAAACUGCGAAUACCGGAGAAUGUUAUCACGGGAGACACACGGCGGGUGCUAACGUCCGUCGUGAAGAGGGAAACAACCCAGACCGCCAGCUAAGGUCCCAAAGUCAUGGUUAAGUGGGAAACGAUGUGGGAAGGCCCAGACAGCCAGGAUGUUGGCUUAGAAGCAGCCAUCAUUUAAAGAAAGCGUAAUAGCUCACUGGUCGAGUCGGCCUGCGCGGAAGAUGUAACGGGGCUAAACCAUGCACCGAAGCUGCGGCAGCGACACUAUGUGUUGUUGGGUAGGGGAGCGUUCUGUAAGCCUGUGAAGGUGUGCUGUGAGGCAUGCUGGAGGUAUCAGAAGUGCGAAUGCUGACAUAAGUAACGAUAAAGCGGGUGAAAAGCCCGCUCGCCGGAAGACCAAGGGUUCCUGUCCAACGUUAAUCGGGGCAGGGUGAGUCGACCCCUAAGGCGAGGCCGAAAGGCGUAGUCGAUGGGAAACAGGUUAAUAUUCCUGUACUUGGUGUUACUGCGAAGGGGGGACGGAGAAGGCUAUGUUGGCCGGGCGACGGUUGUCCCGGUUUAAGCGUGUAGGCUGGUUUUCCAGGCAAAUCCGGAAAAUCAAGGCUGAGGCGUGAUGACGAGGCACUACGGUGCUGAAGCAACAAAUGCCCUGCUUCCAGGAAAAGCCUCUAAGCAUCAGGUAACAUCAAAUCGUACCCCAAACCGACACAGGUGGUCAGGUAGAGAAUACCAAGGCGCUUGAGAGAACUCGGGUGAAGGAACUAGGCAAAAUGGUGCCGUAACUUCGGGAGAAGGCACGCUGAUAUGUAGGUGAAGCGACUUGCUCGUGGAGCUGAAAUCAGUCGAAGAUACCAGCUGGCUGCAACUGUUUAUUAAAAACACAGCACUGUGCAAACACGAAAGUGGACGUAUACGGUGUGACGCCUGCCCGGUGCCGGAAGGUUAAUUGAUGGGGUCAGCGCAAGCGAAGCUCUUGAUCGAAGCCCCGGUAAACGGCGGCCGUAACUAUAACGGUCCUAAGGUAGCGAAAUUCCUUGUCGGGUAAGUUCCGACCUGCACGAAUGGCGUAAUGAUGGCCAGGCUGUCUCCACCCGAGACUCAGUGAAAUUGAACUCGCUGUGAAGAUGCAGUGUACCCGCGGCAAGACGGAAAGACCCCGUGAACCUUUACUAUAGCUUGACACUGAACAUUGAGCCUUGAUGUGUAGGAUAGGUGGGAGGCUUUGAAGUGUGGACGCCAGUCUGCAUGGAGCCGACCUUGAAAUACCACCCUUUAAUGUUUGAUGUUCUAACGUUGACCCGUAAUCCGGGUUGCGGACAGUGUCUGGUGGGUAGUUUGACUGGGGCGGUCUCCUCCUAAAGAGUAACGGAGGAGCACGAAGGUUGGCUAAUCCUGGUCGGACAUCAGGAGGUUAGUGCAAUGGCAUAAGCCAGCUUGACUGCGAGCGUGACGGCGCGAGCAGGUGCGAAAGCAGGUCAUAGUGAUCCGGUGGUUCUGAAUGGAAGGGCCAUCGCUCAACGGAUAAAAGGUACUCCGGGGAUAACAGGCUGAUACCGCCCAAGAGUUCAUAUCGACGGCGGUGUUUGGCACCUCGAUGUCGGCUCAUCACAUCCUGGGGCUGAAGUAGGUCCCAAGGGUAUGGCUGUUCGCCAUUUAAAGUGGUACGCGAGCUGGGUUUAGAACGUCGUGAGACAGUUCGGUCCCUAUCUGCCGUGGGCGCUGGAGAACUGAGGGGGGCUGCUCCUAGUACGAGAGGACCGGAGUGGACGCAUCACUGGUGUUCGGGUUGUCAUGCCAAUGGCACUGCCCGGUAGCUAAAUGCGGAAGAGAUAAGUGCUGAAAGCAUCUAAGCACGAAACUUGCCCCGAGAUGAGUUCUCCCUGACUCCUUGAGAGUCCUGAAGGAACGUUGAAGACGACGACGUUGAUAGGCCGGGUGUGUAAGCGCAGCGAUGCGUUGAGCUAACCGGUACUAAUGAACCGUGAG
rnacentral:rRNA from 1 species